rnacentral:rRNA from 1 species
UACAGAGGUGGCAAGCGUUGUUCGGAAUUACUGGGCGUAAAGCGUGCGCAGGCGGCCUCUUAAGUCAGAUGUGAAAUCCCCGGGCUUAACCUGGGAACUGCGUUUGAAACUGGGAGGCUAGAGUGUGGAAGAGGGGGGUGGAAUUCCAGGUGUAGCAGUGAAAUGCGUAGAGAUCUGGAGGAACACCGAUGGCGAAGGCAGCCCCCUGGGCUGACACUGACGCUCAUGCACGAAAGCGUGGGGAGCAAACAGG